AGGCGUUUCUCCUUCAAGAGGCCAGGAUGGGUUUGGUGGAAAUCCCUCUGGAUCGUGCAGGGUGACUGGAAUGAAUGCGGACCCCUGAGUAUUGAAGACCGUGUUUGUAGGAUGCGACUCGACUUCCCUAGUGUGAGCCCCCAGCUGCUACUCCUGCCUGUCAAUCAGUAGCCUGAAUCCUGGCCGAACGCUGGAAUUGCCUGAUGAGCUUUUCAAAUACACCGGCUCCCAGACCGCACCUCCGGAGCGUCUGAUUUAAUUGGUCUGGGGUGGGAACCCAGCGUCGGAUUCUUUAAAACGUUCGCCCGUAGCCAGGGUUCCGAAGCCCUGCUUUAGAUCCACCUGGCUUCACACAGCAAGCGGAGGGACUCGGCUCUGUCAUCCCCUGCUCAGAACCCCAGGCUGCUUCCCCAGGCCUUUUCGGAGUCCAGGGCGAGGUCCCUCCGAGUGCCCGGAUGCUAGCCUGCUCUGGAGUCUUGUUUUUUCCCUUCUCCUCCGACAGGGAGCGGCCGCCAGCAGGAUUGGCGGCUUGUCUUUCCUGAGAACAGCGCGCCUGUUCACACCUCCAUAACUUUGCACACUCUGAUCUUGCAUCUGGAAUGCCCUUUCUCCCCAAGUCUGCAUGCAGGCUGCAAGACCCCCGCCCUCCUCCACCCCAUGUCUUCACCAGUAACUUCUACUCUUCAGCACCCAGGUCGUCAGAAGGCUGGACUGCAGCUCCGCUGGAAGUGCCUUAUUUGUCCUUGUGUAGUUACAAACGUGAGUUGGAGACAACAAGAAAAUGAAGAGCUUGGGAAGAAGGAAGCAGGUCAUGUGAUAGUGGCCAAGGCAGAAAUUCCAGUGUGGUGAGGCGUAGGAAGAGGGGAAAUCAAGGAUGGACGUCCCCAACCCAUUUGGGAACCUCAUCUGCACAUCUUGAAUUGAGAGGGUUGGAGCAGAUGUCAGACAACUGCAAGUGCUGUGGAGGACACGAUGUUUCCGCCUUCACUGUGGCUUCCAGGAAACCGUAAAUUCAACCCUCAGCAGCAGCAAUCCGUCGAUCUCAGGUUCCCAGUGACAACUGCUGUGCUCUUUUCCAGAUUUAUCCCUGAUUGUCUUUUUUUGGCAUCAUGUUAUGCUUAAAAACACCAGAUGUGUUUGGGAAUAGGGACCCAACCAGCCUGUGGGAGUUGCUGGAGGUCAUGUUUUAAACAGGUUGGGAUAUUUCAGUUAUUUAUUCAAAAUUUCAAUAAGACCCUUCAACUUAACAACUGUGUUCAACAAUGUCUAGCACAGUCCUUUAUUACCCUGCAGAAUCAGAGAUUCUAGAACAGAAAAGAACCUUCAAGAUCAUCUUUUAUAGCAUGUAAAAGGCAUCAGCCUCACAAUCAGACACGCCGGGUUUCGAAUGCUGGCUUUGCCAUAUCAUAGCCAGGUAACCUUAAGAAAAAUUCUAAAAUGGCUUGAACCUUAGUUUCCUCAUCUGUGAAACAGUCACAGUGACAUCUAAGUCACAGGGUUGUUUACAAUAGUGAUAAUUUGUGAAAGCACUGAGCGUGGUAGCUGGUGCACAGAAGCUGCACGAAAUGUGGUAGUUACUGUAUUUAACUAUGAGGGAAUAGAAGAGGCAAUGGGGGAAUUUGAAAAGAAUAUUAAAUAAAUUAUUGGAUUAAAAUGUAAAUACCCCAUUGUGAGGGACACACACAUCUACCUAUUUUAAAGCCUUAACAAAUUCACGUGUUGAUUUUUUAGUUUAUUUAACGGGACAGAACGCAAGGAAGGACCUUGAGUUUUCAGAAGGCAUAACAUGGGGAUUAUGGGUUCUUUAAAUGCGAGACAAGGUGGGAAACAAAGUUUGAAAAGAGCCUAAAUGGAAGACAGAAGGAUGCUGGGGAUACAUUUCAUCCACCAUAGUUACUUGAUUCAAAGAUUUAUUUUCCUAAUGCUUUCUUCUGGUAAUUCCACCAUCCAGAAAGGUUGAAUUUUAUAGUGAACACUCAUAUACCAACUACUUAGUUCAGAAUUAUAUUUUAUUCUGCUUGCUUUAUCACAUAUCCAUCCAUCUAUCAUCUCUUUAUGCAUCCUUCCUUUCUUCCUUCCAUCCACCCAUCCAUCCAUCCAUCCAUCCAUCCAGCGUAUAUUCUUGAUACAUUUCAAAAUCAGUUGCAGACAUCAGCAUGCCUAUCAUUAGAGUUCAAUAUUUGUUUACAGUUCUCUUUUUCAUGUAAAAUUUACAUACAAUGAAAUGCACAAUUCUUAAGUGAGCAUUGCAUGAGUUCUUGCAAAUAAAUACAUUUGCGUGACCCAAGCACCUAUCAAGACAUAGGACAUUACUGUCACCCCAGAAAGUUGCCUGGAAUCUGUUCCCUGUCAAUGUCCACUCCCUUCUCCUCCAGAGGCAAUAACUUCUCUGAUUUUUUCCACCGUAGCUUAAUUUUUCCUAUUCUUGUUUCAUAUAAAUGGAAUUAUAUCCUACCUACUCUUUUGUGUUUGACUUAUUUCGCUUAGCAUGAUGUCUGUGAGCUUCAUCUUUAUUGUUGCGUGUCUCCGUUUCUGUUGCUUAUUGACUGGCACUCCAUUGAAUAAAGAUACUACAGUUGGUCCAUU
rnacentral:lncRNA from 1 species